AACGGGGGGGGCAAGUGUUCUUCGGAAUUACUGGGCGUAAAGCGCACGUAGGCGGAUAUUUAAGUCAGGGGUGAAAUCCCAGAGCUCAACUCUGGAACUGCCUUUGAUACUGGGUAUCUCGAGUAUGGAAGAGGUAAGUGGAAUUCCGAGUGUAGAGGUGAAAUUCGUAGAUAUUCGGAGGAACACCAGUGGCGAAGGCGGCUUACUGGUCCAUUACUGACGCUGAGGUGCGAAAGCGUGGGGAGCAAACAGG
rnacentral:rRNA from 1 species